rnacentral:rRNA from 1 species
CCUACGGGAGGCAGCAGUGAGGAAUAUUGGUCAAUGGCCGAGAGGCUGAACCAGCCAAGUAGCGUGAGGGAUGACUGCCCUAUGGGUUGUAAACUUCUUUUAUGAGGGAAUAAAACGAUGCACGUGUGCCUUUUUGCAUGUACUUUAUGAAUAAGGAUCGGCUAACUACGUGCCAGCAGCCGCGGUAAUACGUAGGGGGCAAGCGUUAUCCGGAUUUACUGGGUGUAAAGGGGGCGCAGACGGCAAUGCAAGCCUGGAGUGAAAUCCCGGGGCCCAACCCCGGGACUGCUGUUGGAACUGGAUGGCUGGAGUACAGGAGGGGCAGGCGGAAUUCGUAGUGUAGCGGUGAAAUGCGUAGAUAUUAGGAGGAACACCGGUGGCGAAGGCGGCCUGCUGGAGUGUGACUGACGUUGAGGCCCGAAGGCGUGGGGAGCAAACAGGAUUAGAUACCCGUGUAGUC